CCUGCAUCUCAGCGGCGAGGAGCUGGCACCCGCCGGCACUCGUGCUGCGCUUCGCUGCGGGAGCUAGCGUCUCCACUCGGCCGAGGCGGCCCGCGCCGAUCUGGCGAGAAUCUACCAGCUCCUGCAAAGCAACAUCGCCAUGGUAACAGGCCACAGCUGGGAAGGGGGCACGCCACGAGUGGGGCAGCCGCAGUGCAGGCUGUGAGCUGCUCCGAGCUGCGGUUCCAGCCGCACCGCUUCGGGAACAGCCAUGCUGCGUGUGGAGCGGCACGAGACUAAAGCGCAGUCAGGAGCGGACAGCAUAUUACUUCAAUGUAGGUCAUCAGCAGUAUUCUCAAUACAUGAAAACCCAGACAAUACUUCCUAUCAGAUUGCUAAAGAUCUCCCAGUCUCUCUGGGACUUGUAUUGAGGAAUGCAUUUCUGAUUCCAUUGGACUUAGCAGGAGUUAUGACUAUGGUAAGGAUUUCAUUCAAAAUAUGAUAGUCUCCCCUAAUACACACAAUAUUUUAUGACAUAAAUUUUUGAAGUUAGAAUAAAACCAUAAUGCAUCCCAUUACAAAUUUCUAGAUCAAAUUGUAUUACUGUUUUUGACUAUAAGAGAAAGAGACAUCAAUUUUAGUUGAAGAACUCCUGUUUACCUGUAUCAUAGCCCCUUCCAUAACUGAUAUUAAAGACAGAGAUAUGUUGGCAUUCAGCUGUUUAAAGUACAGACCUAUGACAGUUUUCUGAUGCAGAGAAAACUUUGAUGUUAUUAGAAAGCUAAGGAAAUAGGAUCAUGCAGAAGUCCAUUUUCUAUCCAAUAUUGAUUAAGAGGAUGGAACUUAUAUUGCUUGUAAAACUCAUAGAUGAUAAAUAGGGAAGGGCUGCUGCUAGCUUGAAUAACAGAAUUUAAAUGUCAGAUGUUCAAAGAAAUGAAAGGAGGGUGGAAUUUGGUAGUGAAAAAGUAUCUUUGCAUAGGAAGAGGUAAUCAGAUCUACAAAUACAAAAAUUGAGAAUAGCCUGGUUUAGUAGAAUGGAAAGCAAUUAAGAGAUUUCAGAGGA